rnacentral:rRNA from 1 species
UACGGGGGGAGCAAGCGUUGUUCGGAUUUACUGGGCGUAAAGGGCGCGUAGGCGGCCACCGCAAGUCAAUUGUGAAAUCUCCGGGCUUAACUCGGAAAGGUCAACUGAUACUGCGGGGCUAGAGUGCGGAAGGGGCAACUGGAAUUCUCGGUGUAGCGGUGAAAUGCGUAGAUAUCGAGAGGAACACCUGCGGCGAAGGCGGGUAGCUGGGCCGACACUGACGCUGAAGCGCGAAAGCCAGGGGAGCGAACGGG